CUGAACUCCCCCACUCUAUCUCCAGUAAGCUCUGAUUCCCUUCCACGUCUUCUUCCAUGGCGAUUACUUUUCGUUUGUGCGGAUUAUACUUUUGACGGAUCUUGAUGAAGAGGACAAUGAGGCUAUGGAAAUGUCAAUGGUGAAUCUAGGUACAACAAGUGCACCAAGUCCUUCAAAGAGAAGGGCUAAAGGUAUACGAGUAGACUACUCUUCAGAAAUAAUUAGAUUUGAUGCCUCAUUCUAAUUCUACUAAUCGCACGCACGCUUAAAGAUCACUGAACAAUCAUUUCUGAUUUCUUUCAGGUAUGGAUGUCAUGCAUUAAGGAAUUCCGGUCUCCUUAACUGGUUAUUUGUGUCUUCACAAUAGAAUUACAAAGAAUGAUGGGGCCUCUAGAGUGUAAUUGCACGCUCCCAAGAGUUUGAAUCACUUUGUUGAUGAUUCCAUUAGGUGCGUGCACCCUUAUUCCAACAAACAUUUCGAAAUGACACAAAAACAGAAAAAUUAGGGGAAAUGGACAAUUUGAAAGCAUUCAGAUUGAGUAAUUUUGCGCCUCUUUAGGUAAAGCAACAAAAAUUGACAACGUAGAUACUAUUUGAUUGGAAGUUUGACAAUUGCAUGAAUAACAUUUAAAUCAUUACUUUAUGCAAAGUGAAAACGAAAAAUAUGACAACUUUUUAGGACAUGUAUGGUAAAGAAAAAGUUUCUUUUUGCACAAUACAUUUAAAAUAUAUGUAACAUCCCACAUCGCACAGGGGAGUGAUCCUUAAAUGUAUAUUCUCA